UACGUAGGGGGCAAGCGUUGUCCGGAUUUAUUGGGCGUAAAGAGCGUGUAGGCGGUCAGGCAGGUCCGUUGUGAAAACUCGAGGCUCAACCUCGAGAUGUCGGCGGAAACCAUCUGGCUAGAGUCCGGAAGAGGAGAGUGGAAUUCCUGGUGUAGCGGUGAAAUGCGCAGAUAUCAGGAAGAACACCUAUGGCGAAGGCAGCUCUCUGGGACGGUACUGACGCUGAGACGCGAAAGCGUGGGGAGCGAACAGG
rnacentral:rRNA from 1 species